rnacentral:rRNA from 1 species
UACGAGAGGCCCAAACGUUAUUCGGAUUUACUGGGCUUAAAGAGUUCGUAGGCGGCUUGGAAAGUGGGGGUGUGAAAUCCCCCGGGCUUAACCUAGGAAUUGCGCUUGAGACUGGAUAGCUUGGAGUGCGGCAGAGGGAGGUGGAAUUCCACGUGUAGCAGUGAAAUGCGUAGAGAUGUGGAGGAACACCGAUGGCGAAGGCAGCCUCCUGGGCCAGCACUGACGCUCAUGCACGAAAGCGUGGGGAGCAAACAGG